UAGCUCAGAGGUUAAGAGCACUGACUGCUCUUCCAGAGGCCCUGGGUUCAAUUCCCAG
rnacentral:tRNA from 1 species